AGCGGGCGUAGCUUAAUGGUAAAGCCCUAGCCUUCCAAGCUAGUCAUGUGGGUUCGAUUCCCAUCGCCCGCUU
rnacentral:tRNA from 1 species